UACGGGGGGGGCAAGCGUUGUUCGGAAUUACUGGGCGUAAAGGGCUCGUAGGUGGCCAACUAAGUCAGACGUGAAAUCCCUCGGCUUAACCGGGGAACUGCGUCUGAUACUGGAUGGCUUGAGUUCGGGAGAGGGAUGCGGAAUUCCAGGUGUAGCGGUGAAAUGCGUAGAUAUCUGGAGGAACACCGGUGGCGAAGGCGGCAUCCUGGACCGACACUGACACUCAGGUGCGACAGCGUGGGGAGCAAACAGG
rnacentral:rRNA from 1 species